UCAGGCGUCGAGCGGCGGACGGGUGAGUAAUACUUAGGAAUCUACCUAGUAGUGGGGGAUAGCACGGGGAAACUCGUAUUAAUACCGCAUACGACCUACGGGAGAAAGGGGGCAGUUUACUGCUCUCGCUAUUAGAUGAGCCUAAGUCGGAUUAGCUAGAUGGUGGGGUAAAGGCCUACCAUGGCGACGAUCUGUAGCUGGUCUGAGAGGAUGAUCAGCCACACCGGGACUGAGACACGGUCCAGACUCCUACGGGAGGCAGCAGUGGGGAAUUUUGGACAAUGGGCGCAAGCCUGAUCCAGCAAUGCCGCGUGAGUGAAGAAGGCCUUCGGGUUGUAAAGCUCUUUUGUCAGGGAAGAAACGGUGGGAGCUAAUAUCUCCCACUAAUGACGGUACCUGAAGAAUAAGCACCGGCUAACUACGUGCCAGCAGCCGCGGUAAUACGUAGGGUGCAAGCGUUAAUCGGAAUUACUGGGCGUAAAGCGUGCGCAGGCGGUUUUGUAAGUCUGAUGUGAAAUCCCCGGGCUCAACCUGGGA
rnacentral:rRNA from 1 species